rnacentral:pre_miRNA from 7 species
UGUUAUGACUCCUGGGUGGUCAUCAAAUCCCGGACGAGCCCCCACAUGUUGGACCCCCCCGAAGGGAGACCCUCACUCAAGUCUCAGGGAUCACGAGCCCAGAAAGCCACAACAGUCA